GGGACACGUGGUAUCCUGUCUGAAUAUGGGGGGACCAUCCUCCAAGGCUAAAUACUCCUGACUGACCGAUAGUGAACCAGUACCGUGAGGGAAAGGCGAAAAGAACCCCGGCGAGGGGAGUGAAAAAGAACCUGAAACCGUGUACGUACAAGCAGUGGGAGCACGCUUAGGCGUGUGACUGCGUACCUUUUGUAUAAUGGGUCAGCGACUUAUAUUCUGUAGCAAGGUUAACCGAAUAGGGGAGCCGAAGGGAAACCGAGUCUUAACUGGGCGUUAAGUUGCAGGGUAUAGACCCGAAACCCGGUGAUCUAGCCAUGGGCAGGUUGAAGGUUGGGUAACACUAACUGGAGGACCGAACCGACUAAUGUUGAAAAAUUAGCGGAUGACUUGUGGCUGGGGGUGAAAGGCCAAUCAAACCGGGAGAUAGCUGGUUCUCCCCGAAAGCUAUUUAGGUAGCGCCUCGUGAAUUCAUCUCCGGGGGUAGAGCACUGUUUCGGCAAGGGGGUCAUCCCGACUUACCAACCCGAUGCAAACUGCGAAUACCGGAGAAUGUUAUCACGGGAGACACACGGCGGGUGCUAACGUCCGUCGUGAAGAGGGAAACAACCCAGACCGCCAGCUAAGGUCCCAAAGUCAUGGUUAAGUGGGAAACGAUGUGGGAAGGCCCAGACAGCCAGGAUGUUGGCUUAGAAGCAGCCAUCAUUUAAAGAAAGCGUAAUAGCUCACUGGUCGAGUCGGCCUGCGCGGAAGAUGUAACGGGGCUAAACCAUGCACCGAAGCUGCGGCAGCGACGCUUAUGCGUUGUUGGGUAGGGGAGCGUUCUGUAAGCCUGCGAAGGUGUGCUGUGAGGCAUGCUGGAGGUAUCAGAAGUGCGAAUGCUGACAUAAGUAACGAUAAAGCGGGUGAAAAGCCCGCUCGCCGGAAGACCAAGGGUUCCUGUCCAACGUUAAUCGGGGCAGGGUGAGUCGACCCCUAAGGCGAGGCCGAAAGGCGUAGUCGAUGGGAAACAGGUUAAUAUUCCUGUACUUGGUGUUACUGCGAAGGGGGGACGGAGAAGGCUAUGUUGGCCGGGCGACGGUUGUCCCGGUUUAAGCGUGUAGGCUGGUUUUCCAGGCAAAUCCGGAAAAUCAAGGCUGAGGCGUGAUGACGAGGCACUACGGUGCUGAAGCAACAAAUGCCCUGCUUCCAGGAAAAGCCUCUAAGCAUCAGGUAACAUCAAAUCGUACCCCAAACCGACACAGGUGGUCAGGUAGAGAAUACCAAGGCGCUUGAGAGAACUCGGGUGAAGGAACUAGGCAAAAUGGUGCCGUAACUUCGGGAGAAGGCACGCUGAUAUGUAGGUGAAGUCCCUCGCGGAUGGAGCUGAAAUCAGUCGAAGAUACCAGCUGGCUGCAACUGUUUAUUAAAAACACAGCACUGUGCAAACACGAAAGUGGACGUAUACGGUGUGACGCCUGCCCGGUGCCGGAAGGUUAAUUGAUGGGGUCAGCGCAAGCGAAGCUCUUGAUCGAAGCCCCGGUAAACGGCGGCCGUAACUAUAACGGUCCUAAGGUAGCGAAAUUCCUUGUCGGGUAAGUUCCGACCUGCACGAAUGGCGUAAUGAUGGCCAGGCUGUCUCCACCCGAGACUCAGUGAAAUUGAACUCGCUGUGAAGAUGCAGUGUACCCGCGGCAAGACGGAAAGACCCCGUGAACCUUUACUAUAGCUUGACACUGAACAUUGAGCCUUGAUGUGUAGGAUAGGUGGGAGGCUUGGAAGUGUGGACGCCAGUCUGCAUGGAGCCGACCUUGAAAUACCACCCUUUAAUGUUUGAUGUUCUAACGUUGACCCGUGAUCCGGGUUGCGGACAGUGUCUGGUGGGUAGUUUGACUGGGGCGGUCUCCUCCUAAAGAGUAACGGAGGAGCACGAAGGUUGGCUAAUCCUGGUCGGACAUCAGGAGGUUAGUGCAAUGGCAUAAGCCAGCUUGACUGCGAGCGUGACGGCGCGAGCAGGUGCGAAAGCAGGUCAUAGUGAUCCGGUGGUUCUGAAUGGAAGGGCCAUCGCUCAACGGAUAAAAGGUACUCCGGGGAUAACAGGCUGAUACCGCCCAAGAGUUCAUAUCGACGGCGGUGUUUGGCACCUCGAUGUCGGCUCAUCACAUCCUGGGGCUGAAGUAGGUCCCAAGGGUAUGGCUGUUCGCCAUUUAAAGUGGUACGCGAGCUGGGUUUAGAACGUCGUGAGACAGUUCGGUCCCUAUCUGCCGUGGGCGCUGGAGAACUGAGGGGGGCUGCUCCUAGUACGAGAGGACCGGAGUGGACGCAUCACUGGUGUUCGGGUUGUCAUGCCAAUGGCACUGCCCGGUAGCUAAAUGCGGAAGAGAUAAGUGCUGAAAGCAUCUAAGCACGAAACUUGCCCCGAGAUGAGUUCUCCCUGACUCCUUGAGAGUCCUGAAGGAACGUUGAAGACGACGACGUUGAUAGGCCGGGUGUGUAAGCGCAGCGAUGCGUUGAGCUAACCGGUACUAAUGAACCGUGAGGCUUAACCUUACAACGCCGAAGCUGUU
rnacentral:rRNA from 1 species